GACGAAGGGGGCUAGCGUUGUUCGGAAUUACUGGGCGUAAAGCGCGUGUAGGCGGCUUUGCAAGUCGCGUGUGAAAUCCCUCGGCUUAACCGAGGAAGUGCGCGCGAAACUGCAGAGCUUGAGUACCGGAGAGGAUGGUGGAAUUCCCCAAGUAGAGGUGAAAUUCGUAGAUAUGGGGGAGGAACACCGGUGGCGAAGGCGGGUCUCUGGGCAGUAACUGACGGCUGAGGAGCGAAAGCGUGGGGAGCGAACAGG
rnacentral:rRNA from 1 species